UACGUAGGGUGCAAGCGUUGUCCGGAAUUAUUGGGCGUAAAGAGCUCGUAGGCGGUUUGUCGCGUCUGCUGUGAAAACCCGAGGCUCAACCUCGGGCCUGCAGUGGGUACGGGGCAGACUAGAGUGCGGUAGGGGGAGAUUGGAAUUCCUGGUGUAGCGGUGGAAUGCGUAGAUAUCGGGAAGAACACCAGUGGCGAAAGCGGCUCUCUGGGGGUUUUCUGACGCUGAGGCGCGAAAGCGUGGGGAGCGAACCGGG
rnacentral:rRNA from 1 species